AGAGAGUCAACCAGAAGACACCGAAUGUUGGUAAUCCACUUCAUCCAAUUCCUGUCAAGACCCCACAAGCCUGGUUAUCCAUCGGAAUUGAUCUAAUUGGCCCUCUCACUGAAACACCGCGCGGUAAUAAAUACAUAUGCACUGUAACGUGCUAUUACAGCAAGAUGGCACAGGCCAAACCAUUGAAGUCGAAGGAGGCGGUCGGUGUCGGACGCGUACUUUACGAACUGUUCUUAGUCUUUGGAUUCCCCAAAAAACUCCUGUCCGAUCAGGGAAGAGAAUUUAAUAAUGCUGUCGUAGGG